CUAAUACCGCAUACGCCCUACGGGGGAAAGCAGGGGACCUUCGGGCCUUGCGCGAUUGGAUAUGCCCAGGUGGGAUUAGCUAGUUGGUAAGGUAAUGGCUCACCAAGGCGACGAUCCCUAGCUGGUCUGAGAGGAUGAUCAGCCACACUGGAACUGAGACACGGUCCAGACUCCUACGGGAGGCAGCAGUGGGGAAUAUUGCACAAUGGGGGAAACCCUGAUGCAGCCAUGCCGCGUGUGUGAAGAAGGCCUUCGGGUUGUAAAGCACUUUCAGCAGUGAGGAAGGCGGUAUCGUUAAUAGCGGUAUCGUUUGACGUUAGCUGCAGAAGAAGCACCGGCUAACUCCGUGCCAGCAGCCGCGGUAAUACGGAGGGUGCGAGCGUUAAUCGGAAUUACUGGGCGUAAAGCGCAUGCAGGCGGCUUGUUAAGCCAGAUGUGAAAGCCCGGGGCUCAACCUCGGAAUCGCAUUUGGAACUGGCAGGCUAGAGUCUUGUAGAGGGGGGUAGAAUUUCAGGUGUAGCGGUGAAAUGCGUAGAGAUCUGAAGGAAUACCGGUGGCGAAGGCGGCCCCCUGGACAAAGACUGACGCUCAGAUGCGAAAGCGGUGGGGAGCAAACAGGAUUAGAUACCCUGAUAGUCCACGCCGUAAACGAUGUCUACUUGGAGGUUGGUGUCUUGAACACUGGCUUUCGGAGCUAA
rnacentral:rRNA from 1 species